rnacentral:rRNA from 1 species
UGGGAAACUGGGUCUAAUACCGGAGGGGACCGCACCGUGAGGGUGUGGUGGAAAGUUUUUCGGUGUGGGAUGGGCCCGCGGCGUAUCAGCUUGUUGGUGGGGUAGUGGCCUACCAAGGCGGCGACGGGUAGCCGGCCUGAGAGGGUGGACGGCCACAUUGGGACGGAGACACGGCCCAGACUCCUAGGGGAGGCAGCAGUGGGGAAUAUUGCUCAAAAGGGGGAAGCCUGAUGCAGCGACGCCGCGUGGGGGAUU